rnacentral:tRNA from 1 species
GCCAUCUUAGCUCAGUCGGUAGAGCGCAUCCAUGGUAAGGAUGAGGUCGCAGGUUCGAUUCCUGUAGGUGGCACCA